rnacentral:rRNA from 1 species
GAUGAACGCUGGCGGCGUGCCUAAUACAUGCAAGUCGAGCGAACGGACGAGAAGCUUGCUUCUCUGAUGUUAGCGGCGGACGGGUGAGUAACACGUGGAUAACCUACCUAUAAGACUGGGAUAACUUCGGGAAACCGGAGCUAAUACCGGAUAAUAUUUUGAACCGCAUGGUUCAAAAGUGAAAGACGGUCUUGCUGUCACUCAUAGAUGGAUCCGCGCUGCAUUAGCUAGUUGGUAAGGUAACGGCUUACCAAGGCAACGAUGCAUAGCCGACCUGAGAGGGUGAUCGGCCACACAGGAACUGAGACACGGUCCAGACUCCUACGGGAGGCAGCAGUAGGGAAUCUUCCGCAAUGGGCGAAAGCCUGACGGAGCAACGCCGCGUGAGUGAUGAAGGUCUUCGGAUCGUAAAACUCUGUUAUUAGGGAAGAACAUAUGUGUAAGUAACUGUGCACAUCUUGACGGUACCUAAUCAGAAAGCCACGGCUAACUAC